rnacentral:misc_RNA from 1 species
GAUGAAGAACGCAGCGAAAUGCGAUAAGUAAUGUGAAUUGCAGAAUUCAGUGAAUCAUCGAAUCUUUGAACGCACAUUGUGCCCGCCAGUAUUCUGGCGGGCAUGCCUGGUCGAGCGUCAUUACAACCCUCAGGCCCCCGGGCCUGGCGUUGGGGAUCGGCGGAGCCCCCCGUGGGCACACGCCGUCCCCCAAAUGCAGUGGCGGUCCCGCCGCAGCUUCCAUCGCGUAGUAGCUAACACCUCGCGACUGGAGAGCGGCGCGGCCACGCCGUAAAACACCCAACUCUUCUGAAGUUGACCUCGAAUCAGGUAGGAAUACCCGCUGAACUUAAGCAUAUCAAUAAGCGGAGGA